GGGCGGUUAGCUCAGGGGUAGAGCACUGCCUUCACACGGCAGGGGUCACUGGUUCGAACCCAGUAUCGCCCACCA
rnacentral:tRNA from 1 species